CCCGCCCUCUUCGCCACCCUCUCCUCCUUCCAGGCCGCCUACCUCCACCUCCAGACCGCCCACUCCCCCCUCCUGCCUGACGUUGUCCACUCUGCCGACCGCGCCGCGGUCUCCCACCUCCGCCGCCUAUCCGACUUGAAGCACUGCUACUUCCAGAACCCUGGCCCUAGCCCUAGGCCGGUUCUUCCCCUCAAAUGUCCCAUUUGCAGGCUCAGGUGCAGGAGAACCAGAACCUCCUCCGCACCUUCGACGCCGUCGUCAACGAGCUCCAAUACGACAUCGACAGGAAGGACGCUGAGGCGGAGGAGAAUCUUAAUCCUAUAGGAUUUGGUUGACAAGAAGAAAACAAAGAGGAGGAGGAGGAGGAGGAGGAGGAAGAGAAGGAGAAUGGGAGGCUUACCUCAGACGGCGGCGAGGUCGACGGCGGCGGAGAAGCGGAAUCGUCGAUCGCCGAUCGGGGCUAGGGAUGGGGCUCAACCGAGAGAGGAUGACGAGAGGGGGCCGAGCGAGCGUUAAAAACAAA
rnacentral:lncRNA from 1 species